GAUGAACGCUGGCGGCGUGCCUAAUACAUGCAAGUCGAGCGAACAGAUGAGGAGCUUGCUCCUCUGACGUUAGCGGCGGACGUGUGAGUAACACGUGUAUAACCUACCUGUCAUUCUGGGAUAACUUCGGGAAACCGGAUCAAAUACCGGAUGAUCUCUUGAACCGUAGUGGUCAAUGGUGAAAUACGGUUUUUCUGUAUCUUAUCGAUGGAUACCCGCCGUAUUGGCUAGUUGGUGAGGUAACAGGUUACCAAGGCAACGAGGCGUAGCCGACCUGAGAGGCGGAUCGCCCACCUUGGAAGUGAGACGCGGUCAAGAGUCCUAAGGGAGGCAGCAGAAGGGAAUGUUAGGCAGUGGGCGGAAGCAUGGCGGAGCAAGGCGGCGUGAGUGAUGAAGGUCUUCGGAUCGUAAAGCUCUGUUAUUAGGGAAGAACAAAUGUGUAAGUAACUAUACCCGUAUUGACGGUACCUGAUCAGAAAGCAACGGCUAACUACGUG
rnacentral:rRNA from 1 species